CCUCCUUCAUGAGGCUCCUGGAGUGGACAGAGCCCCCGCUUCUCUUUGGCCACCCAUCCAAUAGUGACAUCCUGGGCACGCCCUGUUACAGAUGGUUCCUCCCAUAGAGCACAGCUGCAGGCAUGAACCCCUAUCUUCUGGGGCCCUUGGUCCAGGCCCCACACAGGGCACAGCCUCAAGAGAGUGUGCUGCAGCCCGCCACACCCUGUGAUGAUUACCCGCUGCUGUGACUGCCCGGGCACUGGGCGUCUGAGCCAAAUGGAGGUGAGGAGGGCUGGGGCAGGGG
rnacentral:lncRNA from 1 species